AUGCUGAAGAGCUUGCUGUGUUGCGAAUAUGCAAUACUAAUGCUAGAGUACUGGGUUGAUACUCCAGAAAUACAGAGAUCAGUCUGAUCUGUACGAAGACCUUAUCAAGUGUUGUAUAGCAGAUGCAACUAGCGAGGUUCGGUCAAGCGCUAGGGCAUGCUACAGGAUGUUCUCAAGGAUAUGGCCAGAGCGUUCACGCCAGUUGUAUUCAUCUUUUGAACCAUCUAGACAGAAAAUGAUAAAUGAUGAAGAUGCUGUGACACAUCAAAGGCAUCUGCCUCCAGUAGUAAGUGUUAAACUAAGGCAACCUCAACCUAGUUCUUGCACUCCAGCUGUAACGGACAAAGUUGUUAAGGUUGAUUCUGGGACAUCAUUUUGUGUUGGAGACUUGCAACCAUCACAGAUACUAUGCCUCGAGUAUGAUGAUAUGACCUCGAAAUGCCAAGAAUCAAGGCAGUAAGGAUGACACUUCGGCAAUUGGAAGUUCUUUGGAAGAUAAGGUCACACUGGGAAAGGAAGAAAUCACAAACAGAGAUACUGAUAAAUGUGAUUCAGACAACAAUGCAGGUUUCAGUUCAUCGUCUUGUGACCUACCAUCUGGUACUCCCUUUGCAACAGGGGCACCCUUCAGAGAUGCCAUUAACCGAUGCAGCUGUCGUAACAAUUGUUCAAGAUAAGGCUGAAUGCGCUCCAAAUGAUGAACAUAUGACUUCUCAUCAAGUUCAAGGACCAGAAGAUCCUUUUGAGUUGACGAGCAUGUCACCUAGCUUGAGAGGAUCAGGGAACUUGCUAAAGCAAAAUCCUAUUGAUGUAAGCUCUGAUGCCGGAUCAGGCGGAAAACUAGGUCCUCAGCAGGAGUGGAAGCAUUGUAUUGGCACAACUAAGAAGACUGCUGCUUCGAAGGAGCCACGUAAUAGUUACACUCCUAACUUCCGGCGACCACUGUUAAGUAAGCAGAUGACAAAUUGGUUUUAUGCCAGUACCAAAAGUGAUUUAGAUGAGAAGAAACUCAUUUUAGGUGAAAUGAUCAGCACAUGAAUGUGCCCCUCAUCUCUCACAGAGGCACUUUCUUUAGGUUUUAACCCAAGGUCAGAUUGGAUGAUGAAGGUAUAUGCAUUUGAUUUCUUAAGGCAAUGUUUGUUAGAACGUGGACCAAAAGGCAUUCAGGAGGUUGCACAAAAUUUUGAGAAGGUUAUGAGACUUGUUUGUCGAUAUCUGGAUGAUCCCCAUCACAAAGUGGCACAGGCUGCUCUCUCAUCACUCGCUGAGAUCAUGCCGGCUUUUAAGAAACCUUUUGAACAUUAUCUCGACAAGACACUGCCCCAUAUUUUCUCUCGGUUAAGCGAUCCAAAGGAAUCAAUUAAGAAGCAGUGCUUGGCAAUUUUGAAACUUGCAAGUGAACUGUAUUCCAUUGAUUCUCUCUUACCCGCCUUACUUCGUUCACUAGAUGAGCAGAAAUCUCCGAAGUCAAAACUGGCAGUUCUCGAGUUUGCAAAUGCCUCUUUUGUAAAUGCACAAUCAAUUCUGAAAUCUAUUCUAGCAGCAGUUUCCUUAAGCCAUGGUUUGGAAAACUCGCCCUUUUGUUUAAGGAUAAAAGCAAAAAACUGAAGGAGGUUGCGGUGGUUGGUUUCUCAUCAAUUUAUUCCCAUUAUGAUUCUGCAUCAAUGUUAAGCUUUUUGGUCAGCUUGUCAAUGGAAGAACAGAAGCGGCUAAGACGGGCAAUGAAGCUACUAAUACCAACAAUAGAAAGUGAUUUAGAAGAGUUCUUGCAGCAAAGGAGACAUAAGCAAAAGGCUUCAUCUUUUGAUAUCUUUACUGCAAAAUCACCGCUUCAUCCUGCAUCUCAAUCUGCUAAAUCACCAAUGCAUCCUGCAUAUCGAUCUGCUAAAUCACCGCUUCAUCCCACAUACCAAUAUGCUAAAUCACCGCUGCAUCCCACAUACCAAUCUGCUAAAUCACCGAUGCAUCCAGCACAUCCAUCUAAUUCUGUUAAGACUGAUGAUUGUUUCAGUUCUGCACUCCAGUGUCUCCCAAAUAUGUCUUUGGAAGUGCAGGAGCGCCGUACUGAGAGGAUCAAGUUUGAAUCCAGUAGCGAAUAUUAUGGUGACAAAGCUGAAAUGAUGGAUAAGAAGUCUAGUACCAUGAAGCCAAGGAACGGUCUCCAGAGAAGAAUUGACUUCAGUAUGAUAUCAGAUAACACAAUGCAGAAUGCAAGCAGGGACGGUCAGAAUAUGAAGGUAUUUGAUAAACCAAAUGCAAGUGAACUGAGCAUGAAUAUCAGAAAUGAUGAAAUCACGGGUGAUGACUGCCAGGAUCAUAAGGAGGUGGUGAGGCAAUUGGAAGAAGUUUCGGAGACGAACAGACAUUGUGUUCCCACCAAGAAUUUAGACCAGAUGUCAUCUUCACUUCUUGAGAUGCUUUAUGAUCCAGAUGUAACCACCAGAGAGCUAGCCCUUUCUCUAUUAGUUGAAAUUCUUGAAAAGCACAGAAAGGCAAUGGAGAGCUGCGUCGAAAUUCUCAUAGUUAAAUUACUGCAUGCAACCAAAGACGCUGCCUUGAAGGUUGUAAAUCAGGCCCAUAUCUGCUUGACAACUGUGGUCACACAAUUUGACCCAAUGAGAUGCCUUGGGGCCAUAUCUUCUCAAUUAGCCUGCCAGGAUGAGAAAAUUCUUAUUAUCAGCAUCAAUAGUUUGAGCAAGCUUGUGAAUCGAUUGUCACAGGAAAACCUCAUGGCUCAUUUGUCAACAUUUCUUCCUGCACUCCUGGAUGCUUUUGAAAACCACAGCCCAUAUGUCCGCAAGGCUGUGAUGGUGUGCGUGGUGGACACAUACCUGAAGCUGGGGCCGUCGCUGCUGCCGUAUCUGGAGGGCUUGGACAGCGCGCAGCUGCAGCUCGUAACCACCUACGCCAGCCGGCUGUCCCAGGCAAGAUUCAUUGCGGCGGACGGCUGAUGCAGGAGGAUGUCUCGCGGCGCGGGCAAGGCCGGCCCUCUCAUAAACGCCCGUGGCCGCACCACCGGAAGAAGAAGGGGAAGGAGGGAAGAACAGCAAGCGAGGGCUUCUCUUUCCUGUCUCCUCUGCGCUCCCAAUGAAUUUAUGAGGAUAGAUUUCGGCAAUAAUUUCCCUGCAUCCGGAUGGAAAUGUGCAGCGUUGUACGAGUCCUGUGCGGAGUAAUGGUUGCGUUUGGUUUUUUCCUUCCCCGUGGCUGUUGUGAUUUUAAAGGGUGUGCAUGCAGUUCUUGUGGAACGAAAUCUGCCAGACAGGCUCCUGUGCCCGUACUUCCCUCAUGGUGGCCUGCAGCUAGUCGCUGCUUGAUGGAUCCAUCAAUCGGGCUGGGCUGUGAGCUGUUGGCUCUCUUCUGACCACCCUGCACGUCCAUAUGUAAUCUGAAUGUCUGAUCGCCGGCCGUCAGUUGGCAGUCCACUCUCA